AUGCUUCAGCAAAUUUUGUUUAAAGUUUCCUGCAAACGUUUUGUCUCCUUUUCUCUUGAUGUUCUACAAGUAUGUUUUUCCACUUUGUUCUCCAACCCUUUCCCAUUUAAUUUGAUAGAUAAAAUAACACCACUUUCAAAAAUGUUCAAAGGGGAAAAAAUCAGAAAAGUUCUUAUGGGUGAGACAUGGCAGAAUUCUCAAUCUUACAAAGUGGCAUGAGGUGAGACUUCCCUGCCUUUCACUAUAUAUGGCCAUUACUUGUCUGUGUGCACUGAGUGGCCCUAAUAUCCUGCACUCCACAGAGAAACGUUUAAGAGAUAACUUUUCCCAAGGAGUAUUUUUUAAAACCAGGAUCAAGAGAGGCUACAGAAUGAAAGAUGUAGAAUAGAAAGAAAACAGCAUACAUCCUCAACAUACUUCCAUACAAUAGGAUAAGCAUUCACCAAUUUUGGUAUCUGCAGGACCCCUUGUAGAUUCCAAAAUUUGUGGAUGCUCAUCCUAUUGUAUAUAAUCUUGCAAUAAAAUUGUGUCCCUUUUAUAAAACAGCAAAUCAAGGUUUUCUUUUGGGGAUUUUUUUUCAGAGGGGAAUAUUUUCAAUCUGUGGAUCGUUGAAUUUGUGCAUUCAGAAUCCAUGUUUAUAGAGGGCUGACUCAUUUCAAUAUCAUAAAAGAAAGUAUUCCCCAUAUCUCGGUUGUCUUGCUGUUACUUUAUAGGAUUAGAAGUGAGCUGUGAUCACUGAAGAAAAGUUAUACUAACAACCUAGAUGUUAUUUUGCCCACUUUCCCCUUGGAGAGGUCUUUCUUUUAGCCCUAAGUGAAUUGUUAAUGGAUAAAAUGUGUGACCGGUAAUCCACAUGGUAAUUUCAGUGUGCUCCAUUUGCCUCCUGCAAGUUCUGAUCUCCAUCAGUGGAUUUUCAUGUGUGUAAAGGCUCUGGUAUAUGACAUUUCAGACAAUCAGGUUAAUAUCAAUAAUUGCAACAAUCAGAUCAACCUUAUGCAUUCAAAUGCACCCUGAUUAUUUCAAGCAAUUGAACUCAGUUCAGAUCUUUAAUACUUCUCCCCUUCACUGCAUUCUGAUACUAGUUCAAAUGGGGAAUGUCUCAAUUUAUCACCCAAUUUUCAUUACUAUUUCUCUUAAGUAAUUUUCCUCGAUAAAACAUACACACAGCGUGCCUCGUUCCUUCACACAAUUUUAGGUUUUUUUUUCCUUCCUCCACACUCAAGCACUGAAUUUACAUUGAACUUUCCAAUUCAGGCCAAUUCACAGGGGCUCCAAAUUAGUCAAAUGAGCCAAAAUACCUUCACUGUCCUUCAGACUAAACUGACAAGAAGAUAGAAAGAGCAGCGUUUUUACAGUCACUCUCUCAUCUUCUCUUUGAAAAGGGCCUGACGCUGCUGAUAGAGAUGAAUGAUGAUGUUUUUAGAAUGAAGCUCAGUGUUAAUCUAUAUUAAAUUCCAAUGUUCUGUGACAUAUAUAUGCAAGUGGGAAGCAGGAUGAAAGCUUCAAAACUAGCAAGCUUCUCUUCCACAUAUAUUUACUUUACUGGUUUUCUGAACACCUGAAGAAAGCUAAAAUAUACCAGGACUGUGGUGUAAGAUUAAAAGUGAUCCUUAUUGGCUAAGACCAGAUGGGACAAUACCAGGCUAAAAGAAACUGUAUUAAAUAAAUGAUUUCCCAUUGUAGGGAUGUUAGAGAAUACUUAGAAAUAUCCUCAUCCAGGCCUAAACAUGUGCUUUGUCCUGGCAUGGUGGAGGUAAAACUUUUCCAUAACUUGAUUUUUCCAUAAUCCUGUUCCACCCCCUCCUGUUUCCAUCCCCUUUUAAAGCUAUCAUCUUUUGGUAAUCAGAACUCAGGCAACCAGAACUCUCAAGCAAAUAGCAAGAAUUUUUUUAAGAAAUAAUACUUUUUAAAGAUUUGCAGUAUUUUUUUAACCCAGAAGGAAACCUCAUUCAAAUAUUUAUUCUAAAUUACUUUGCAUUAGCCUGAGCUCAUCGUUUGGACACCCCAGGCUAAUGCAACAUAUACACUGCAUUUUCUGGCUGUGUAAAUGGGGCCAACGAGUCUACUGUAGCCAGCAAAGCAGUUUUUUUCUGGCAGGUUGAGAUCAGAAAGUCUAACUGGGUUCAAACAACAGAAAUGAUUUUUUUUUUCUGGCACAAUAAGUUUGGGUCUAAUUCUUGUCUCCUAUUACUGCAUCUUUGGGUUGGUUAAAAGCUAUUACAAAGAGCAAUUCCCACUGUAUUUAAAGGGCCUUAUUUCUGAGUAAGAAUGUGACAUUUUGUCAAUUUCCUUUUCAUUACACCUGUAGGAAUCUCCUCAGUAUUCUCUCAUUCAAAUUCUGCAUCAAGAGACUUUUAUUCUUCUUUCCACAUGGAAAACUGUGCAUUUCAGUACAUGUAUACAUUGUUUACACUUUUGUUCUUUUCAAGUUCAUUGUGAUUGUGAAGAAUUCAAAAAGACAUCAUCCAUAUGAACACUGUUUGUACUACAUAUACAACAACACAAGUGAGAAUGAUAAAUAAGUUAUAUAGAUCAAAAACAAUGCAAAUUAACAAUUUCAUUGACACUAGCUAUGUGCUUUAUACUGUUCAAUGUGUGUGUGUGUGUGUGUGUGUGUGUGUGUUUGGAUGGGUGGGUGGAUAAACUUCCCAACCUGUUAAAAAUAGCACAGCACCUUUCAAAUUUGAAAAAAAAAUAAACAGUUGAGAGGUGAUUUUUUAGUUAAACAUUUUAAAAGAAAUAUUAGAUAUGCAUUUUGGAUUCUGUAGAAAAUACACAAUCACAAUUAAGAUACUUUUUAAUAAAAAUGGGAUAUAAUGAAUUUUAAGAUUUAAAUCAUUAGAACCUAUAAGUUUAAAAGAAGAUCUGGAAUUUACAAUAUCUAAUAUAAAGAUUAUUGUGGAAGACUUGACAGUAAAUAGAGGAAACACUCAGAGAGGCCUUCGGUUCCUUUACUCCCUUGAAUGUCUGAGUCCAGUGAUGAUAGUAUCUAGUUCUGUUUGCUUAAUUGUCCAUUUCUUUGGAGAGUGUAUUAUACAAAUCCAGAAAUGUUUGUGUAAAAGUAUGUAUAUUCACCGUGUUACAUAGAAUAAUGUAAUCUUUAUGUUCACCUUCUGCUUAUGAGAACUAAAAGAGCUUCUUGUGGGGUAGAUCACAGGGGCUUACAUGUCUUUACAGGUCACAGGGGCUUACAUGUC
ensembl:lncRNA